AGAGUUUGAUCCUGGCUCAGGAUGAACGCUGGCGGCGUGCCUAAUACAUGCAAGUCGAACGAAGUCUUCGGACUUAGUGGCGAACGGGUGAGUAACACGUUGGUACCUACCCCUAAGUGGGGAAUAACUGCCCGAAAGGGUGGCUAAUACCGCAUAAUCCCGCAAGGGUAAAGCAGUAAUGCGCUUAGGGAGGGGCCUGCGUCCCAUUAGCUUGUUGGUAGUGUAAUGGACUACCAAGGCGACGAUGGGUAGCUGGAUCGAGAGGUUGACCAGCCACACUGGGACUGAGAUACGGCCCAGACUCCUACGGGAGGCAGCAGUAAGGAAUCUUCCACAAUGGACGAAAGUCUGAUGGAGCAACGCCGCGUGCAGGAUGACGGCCUUCGGGUUGUAAACUGCUUUUAUAUGGGAAGAUUAUGACGGUACCAUAUGAAUAAGGACCGGCUAACUACGUGCCAGCAGCCGCGGUAAUACGUAGGGUCCAAGCGUUAUCCGGAAUCACUGGGCGUAAAGCGUGCGUAGGCGGGAAUUUAAGUGAGAUGUUAAAUCGUGUGGCUCAACCAUAUCGAUGCAUCUCAUACUGGGUUCCUAGAGGAAGGCAGAGGCAAGUGGAAUUUGUAGUGUAGCAGUGAAAUGCGUAGAUAUUACAAGGAACACCAAUGGCGAAGGCGCUUGCUGGGCCUUUUCUGACGCUGAGGUACGAAAGCGUGGGGAGCGAACAGGAUUAGAUACCCUAGUAGUCC
rnacentral:rRNA from 1 species